rnacentral:rRNA from 1 species
AGCGAACGCUGGCGGCAGGCCUAACACAUGCAAGUCGAACGAAGUCUUCGGACUUAGUGGCGGACGGGUGAGUAACACGUGGGAACGUGCCUUUAGGUUCGGAAUAACUCAGGGAAACUUGUGCUAAUACCGAAUGUGCCCUUCGGGGGCAAGAUUUAUCGCCUUUAGGGCGGCCCGCGUCUGAUUAGCUAGUUGGUGAGGUAAAGGCUGACCAAGGCGACGAUCAGUAGCUGGUCUGAGAGGAUGAUCAGCCACAUUGGGACUGAGACACGGCCCAAACUCCUACGGGAGGCAGCAGUGGGGAAUCUUGCGCAAUGGGCGAAAGCCUGACGCAGCCAUGCCGCGUGAAUGAUGAAGGUCUUAGGAUUGUAAAAUUCUUUCACCGGGGACGGUAAUGACGGUACCCGGAGAAGAAGCCCCGGCUAACUUCGUGCCAGCCGCCGCGGUAA